AUUGAACGCUGGCCAGGCCUAACACAUGCAAGUCGAGCGGAUGAAGGGAGCUUGCUCCUGGAUUCAGCGGCGGACGGGUGAGUAAUGCCUAGGAAUCUGCCUGGUAGUGGGGGAUAACGUCCGGAAACGGGCGCUAAUACCGCAUACGUCCUGAGGGAGAAAGUGGGGGAUCUUCGGACCUCACGCUAUCAGAUGAGCCUAGGUCGGAUUAGCUAGUUGGUGGGGUAAAGGCCUACAAAGGCGACGAUCCGUAACUGGUCUGAGAGGAUGAUCAGUCACACUGGAACUGAGACACGGUCCAGACUCCUACGGGAGGCAGCAGUGGGGAAUAUUGGACAAUGGGCGAAAGCCUGAUCCAGCCAUGCCGCGUGUGUGAAGAAGGUCUUCGGAUUGUAAAGCACUUUAAGUUGGGAGGAAGGGCAGUAAGUUAAUACCUUGCUGUUUUGACGUUACCAACAGAAUAAGCACCGGCUAACUUCGUG
rnacentral:rRNA from 1 species